rfam:Brassica napus, WGS project CCCW01000000 data, contig: 3835
GGAAUAUAAGAACCUGUCUCUUAACUUUUAACUAAAAAACUAAGAACUUUCUCUUAAAACUCUUAUUUAAGAGCCGGUUUUUAACUUUUUUAGUUAAAAGUUAAGAGACAGGUUCUUAUAUUCC